CAGUGUUUGGAAGAUCAAUAGUCGUUUUGCAACGACGUUAGGAGUACUCGAGUGUGUAUUACGUACGAUAUUUACCAACGAAUACAGCAAUUUUAUUCAACGCCUUUAUCAGAGUUGAUUAACUCUCUUCUUGGUAAGCUCCGACCCAACCUUAAUGUGUGUUCAACGCAGAUGAGACGAACGUAAUAUUUUCUUAAGAUGGGUUGGAGGGGAGGCGUAGCAGAUGGGUGCUGGGCGCGGGAUCAAGAUUUUUCCCAUUACAAAAAUCAAUUUAGAAAUAAAAAAGAAAAAAAAAACUCACCUGCAGGUAACCGCCCGAACAAGUCGUAGCAUUCUCCAAUACGCCAACUUUGAAUUUCUUAAAACGUACACGAAGAAUCCAAUCUCUUGGUGUUCCACGAAAAGCACGGAAACGGUACCAACAAUAAAGUGGUUUUCCCAUGUUGGCAGCGGUCACUGCAGGACUGGAAACAUCCUCGUAGAUGUCAACGGUCUUGUUACAGUGACCACGGUCCGCUAAAAUGAAUAAUAAAUGAUAUCAUUGUUAAAAAUCAUCAAUUCUUUUUCUAUUUUUAUUUCUUUUUCUUUUCGUUCUAAUUGAGACAAAUUUUCAUUCAAAUUAUAGAUAAUAGAUGUCGAAUAUCGAUCUAUUUCAUUCGAUAAUAAUUCAUAACAUCAAAAAGUAAUUAAUUAAGAUCAUGCAUACGUUUUAUCUGUAUAUUAUCUU